rnacentral:rRNA from 1 species
UACGUAGGUGGCAAGCGUUGUCCGGAUUUAUUGGGCGUAAAGGGAACGCAGGCGGUUUUUUAAGUCUGAUGUGAAAGCCUUCGGCUUAACCGAAGUCAUGCAUUGGAAACUGAAAGACUUGAGUGCAGAAGAGGAGAGUGGAACUCCAUGUGUAGCGGUGAAAUGCGUAGAUAUAUGGAAGAACACCAGUGGCGAAAGCGGCUCUCUGGUCUGUAACUGACGCUGAGGUUCGAAAGUGUGGGUAGCAAACAGG